AUUGAACGCUGGCGGCAUGCCUUACACAUGCAAGUCGAACGGCAGCGGGGACUUCGGUCCGCCGGCGAGUGGCGAACGGGUGAGUAACGUAUCGGAACGUACCUUUCAGUGGGGGAUAACGUAGCGAAAGUUACGCUAAUACCGCAUAUUCUGUGAGCAGGAAAGCAGGGGAUCGCAAGACCUUGCGCUGAUUGAGCGGCCGAUAUCAGAUUAGCUAGUUGGUGAGGUAAAGGCUCACCAAGGCGACGAUCUGUAGCGGGUCUGAGAGGAUGAUCCGCCACACUGGAACUGAGACACGGUCCAGACUCCUACGGGAGGCAGCAGUGGGGAAUUUUGGACAAUGGGGGCAACCCUGAUCCAGCCAUGCCGCGUGAGUGAAGAAGGCCUCGGUU
rnacentral:rRNA from 1 species